rnacentral:lncRNA from 1 species
AAAAAAAGAGAAGAGAAAAAUGAUUUGGCUCGGCAGAGAAGAGAAGAGGGAAGAGAAAAGGGAUUCGGUAAAGAUGGAAUUCGCCUACAACAAACAAAAAGGGAAGAAAAAGAAAAGUAAAUAGAAGAAAAUGAAAUAAAUGAGCAAACCCAAGAGUAACUCCCAGAACUUGGCAAAAUUUGGCACCAAAAUUAAAACGUGAAACCCGAAACUCACAAAAAUCGAAGCAGAUUAAGAGAAAAACUCCAAAAUAGACCAAAACCAACCUUAAGUGAACAAUGAUCAAAUUCGGCACAAACACCCUCCCCC